GGGCAAGAGACUGGAGGUUGGGGCAGCUGAAGUGCUGGACCCUGCAAGGCAGGGGCCCACAGAGGCGGGAGCUGUGCCGUUCAUGUAAACAUAAUCAUGAGUUCAUACUCAUACUUCUAAUUCUGAUCCAAUAUCACAAGGCUUCCCUAGUCUUCUCCUAUUCCACGUUUCUGGAUCUCUUUCAGAAACCCAGUCUGAGAGCAGACUGGCAAGGUAAGUCUCCAUUUUCACCAUCCAGUCUCCUAGCCGAGGAAAAGCCUGCCAGUGGGGACCGUACGAGACUCCAGGAAUACAAGGAUGAAUGAAUAGCAGAGCUCCCUUGACAGAGAUCCACAUGCACCGCCUGGAAAGGUACGAGAUGCUAACUGCCUUUGUCUCCUUACCAUUUGUUGACAUCUCUAUGCCACCCAGUGCCUGGGACAUAGCAGGUGCUCAGUGAGAACUGAGGAAAUGGAUUCACAGUAUGGAAGGUGAUGCUUUGAGAAGUUGUGUGCUGUUGUCUCUGGAAACCCUCAAGCUGAAGUACUUGCCAGAGAUAUUCAUUCAUUCAUCCAGCAAAUAUUUACUGAGGAGUAAUACAUGUUUAUUUAUAAAAGGCAAAUAAAUAUUUAUAUAUUUCUAUAUUGCAAGGUAUUAUUUUGGCACUGGACAAAUGGCAAUGAACAAAAC
rnacentral:lncRNA from 1 species